rnacentral:lncRNA from 1 species
CCAGUGGAUUAAGAAAAUUUGUAGGCCUGCCCCCCCCAAUUUUCUUCUGGGUAAAAAAGCCCGGACCAUGCUCUUUCCUCAGGAGACCGAGCAGGGGAACGGAGGGGACUCACGGGAUGAGAUGAAUCGGAUUGCACAGGAAGCCUUGGCCAAUGACCAACCUGUUUGACGGUUAAGUAAAAUCUGCCAAAUAUUUCACAACUUUUGUGGAACCUCCUCGGGACAGGUCAAGAAAACUCUACCUGUUUGGAGAAGUUCAAAGACUAAGGGCCCUCCCUCCGGUGACCGGCCUGAUUCGCUGUGCAGAACUGUUUGGGAUGGCAACCAUGCCGAGGCCAGAACUGAGAUGUAGACAGAAACUGCAUCGUGAUUAUACAGUUACAGCCCACGUGAGAAAGUCCCAAGACUAAGGUGCCUUCAAAAGCUGGAGUCACUUCUGCAUUACUGAAUGGGAUACAGUAUUUGAGGAGUCUUGGACUGCUGACUGUACUUUCCAAGCACUCAGUACAGUGCUCUGUACACAGUAAGCGCUCUACAAGUAUAAUUGAAUGAAUGAAUAAAUGAACAUGCCUCUAUUUGUAUUGAUAUCUGCUUAUUUGUCCUGAUGUCUGUCUUCCCCUCUCUAGACUGUGAGCUCAUUGUGGGCAGGGGUUGUUACUGUUUUUUGUUGUGUUGUACUUUACCAAGUGCUUAGUACAGUGCUUUGCACACAGUAAGCGCUUAGUAAAUAUGAGUGAAUGAAUGCA